CAGAAACCAACAUGAGAUUCCAAAUCCCAAUAUUAAGAUGGACACGCUAUUUUUGCUAGGAUUUCAUUCAAGAAAAGGGAAGAAGACCCACCUGAAUUGUUUAGCGGCUGUGUGGCACUAGAGAGAAAGGAUUUCCUGCAUUGACCACAGCCCAGGACCGAGUGUUCCCCCAUGCCAGCGUCAUGUGUGGGGCAGAGAGCGGCCCAAAGCCCACCUGCACUCCCCGUACGCUGGCACUGUGUGUGUUGACCGAAGGAUUUCAGAAACACGGAGUCAGAAAUCUGUGUCGCAGACUGGAUGAGACAUUUAUCUAACACGGCACAUUGGUGUUGGUCUUUCGAAACCUGUCUUAUGAUUCAGGAAAUUGGGAGACUCCUGCGAAGGCUGGUGGCCUCCUCUCUUAAGAAAUCUACCACCACCCGAGAUGGCCCUGCUGGGAAGGAGUCUUUCCUGGCUCUCUGGGACUUCUGGGAUUUCCGGGACUUCCAGGACUGCUGAGACUGCCGGGACUUCCGGUGCAGAAGCUCCAGCCAAUGUGAUUGUCCUCUGCCGUGCAGCCUAGAGGCCCCUUGCCAGCCUGGUCCUCACAGCCUUCCAGAUUCUGCUCUGAGCCAUCGCCAGUGGUUCACACAGACGGGCAGCAGGUGCUGACCACUAAUCCACCUCCAUUUUUCAUCAAGGCUGGCCUUCUCCAAGAAGGUCUCAGGUGCAUGGUGCCAGGCAUCAGGAAGUUCCUGACCGAAAAGGAUCAGGCACCCCUUCUACCCACAGGCAACAGCUUGUACUGAGGAGAACAUUGCCACAGCCUAGGCCUUCAGGUCUCAGUGUGCUGUGAGGUAACUCUGGGACUCUGGAAGGGAUGGUGGAAGAGUCCCCUCCCUGGUAAGACUCAAAUGGACCAUCCAGGAGAUGACAGAGACACUAAACAAAGGACUCAGGAGAUUUCUUCUGAUAAGCUAUAUUCUAGCUGUAAUUAUUUAAUUAAAAAGUUUACUAGCAUAGGGCUGGGGAUUUAGCACAGUGGUUCGGUGG